GACGAACGCUGGCGGCGUGCUUAACACAUGCAAGUCGAACGAAGAGCGAUGGAAGCUUGCUUCUAUCAAUCUUAGUGGCGAACGGGUGAGUAACGCGUAAUCAACCUGCCCUUCAGAGGGGGACAACAGUUGGAAACGACUGCUAAUACCGCAUACGAUCCAAUCUCGGCAUCGAGACUGGAUGAAAGGUGGCCUCUAUUUAUAAGCUAUCACUGAAGGAGGGGAUUGCGUCUGAUUAGCUAGUUGGAGGGGUAACGGCCCACCAAGGCGAUGAUCAGUAGCCGGUCUGAGAGGAUGAACGGCCACAUUGGGACUGAGACACGGCCCAGACUCCUACGGGAGGCAGCAGUGGGGAAUCUUCCGCAAUGGACGAAAGUCUGACGGAGCAACGCCGCGUGAGUGAUGACGGCCUUCGGGUUGUAAAGCUCUGUUAAUCGGGACGAUAUGGUUCUUGUGCAAAUAGUGCGAGAAUUUGACGGUACCGGAAUAGAAAGCCACG
rnacentral:rRNA from 1 species